rnacentral:rRNA from 1 species
UACGAAGGGGGCUAGCGUUGUUCGGAAUGACUGGGCGUAAAGGGUGCGUAGGCGGUGCAGUAAGUCAGGCGUGAAAUCCCCGGGCUCAACCUGGGAACUGCGCUUGAGACUGUUGUGCUUGAGACCGGGAGAGGAUGGCGGAAUACCCAGUGUAGAGGUGAAAUUCGUAGAUAUUGGGUGGAACACCGGUGGCGAAGGCAGCCAUCUGGACCGGAUCUGACGCUGAGGCACGAAAGCGUGGGGAGCAAACAGG